AGAGUUUUAGAGUUUGAUCCUGGCUCAGGAUGAACGCUGGCUGUGUGCCUAAUACAUGCAUGUCGAGCAGGUUAGCAAUAACCUAGCGGCGAAUGGGUGAGUAACACGUGCUUAAUCUACCUUUUAGAUUGGAAUACCCAUUGGAAACAAUGGCUAAUGCCGGAUACGCAUGGAACCGCACGGUUCCGUUGUGAAAGGCGCUGUAAGGCGCCACUAAAAGAUGAGGGUGCGGAACAUUAGAUAGUUGGUGAGGUAAUGGCCCACCAAGACUAUGAUGUUUAGCCGGGUCGAGAGACUGAACGGCCACAUUGGGACUGAGAUACGGCCCAAACUCCUACGGGAGGCAGCAGUAGGGAAUAUUCCACAAUGAGCGAAAGCUUGAUGGAGCGACACAGCGUGCACGAUGAAGGUCUUCGGAUUGUAAAGUGCUGUUAUAAGGGAAGAACAUUUGCAAUAGGAAAUGAUUGCAGACUGACGGUACCUUGUCAGAAAGCGAUGGCUAACU
rnacentral:rRNA from 1 species